CUUAGACUUCAGAGGAGUUACAUGCAACGGAAUUUUGCCCACUGAGCCUUUGCAGUCUGCUCUCACAUUACCAUGAAGGAUGAAGGAUAAAGGAUGGCAGUGGGCUGUGAGCUGACUGGUGCAUAAGAGAGCUGAAUCCCUAUAAAGCCCUGCCAGUUGUGGAUGCUCCCAUCUUUUCAGGAUUCAACCUAAUUCUCUCACCCUCUUGUAUAUCUAGGUGGCCAAGGACUGAGUAAGCUGCAGAUGACAGAAUUACUCUGGCACCUCUAGAGUAGCCCCUUUGGCCAGAAAUGUGGUCCAUUGGUGAAUCUGGUGUGAAAGAAACCUUGCAGCAAACUAAC